UUCGCAUGCUCACCAUUGUGAACUUCUUUCUCAUUUGAUAAGAGAUUGAAGCUUUUCCAUGCUGCAAAAGUGUGACGCCACGUAGGGGAAUGGUUGUUGAAAAUUGAUCCAGCACAACAUUCUCCCCAAAAUGAAGUUGCCACAAGCUCGUUCAAUCUUACGCAACACUGAGGGCGGGAUCCAAAAGAUAAGCCCCCAGUAUUUGGGGAAUAGGGCUAAGGACGUAAUCCGACCAAAAAGACAUGCCCGCAUGAGAUAACAUCUUUUGCCUCCAACAUGGUAAAUGUUUCCCCACUUUAACAAGCAAAGGGGAGCAGAUGCUUUCAAGGAGAUCACUAGUGAGCAACGGCAUGCCCAGGUAAGUUAAAAUGCUGCAUCUGGUAGGACCAACCAAAGGUGGUUGUCAUAGCAUGGAUUCUUGAAGGUGAAAGAUUAAACCCAGUGAAAUUGAUGAUCGAACCUGAGCAGUUCUGAAAGUUAGCGAGACAGCAUUGCAAAUUUCUUAUACUUCGCUUGUUAAUCAACACAAAAAGCAAAAUGUCGUCUGCAUAUAAUAUAGAAGCCACUCGAGGACAUGCGCACCCAAUCUAAUCGAUUUUUCCAUAAAGAGUGUCCACAAGACAGGCUGAACCCUCUGAACAGACGGAACUCCUGCCCCCAACGCGAGCCACCGCCCCCCGUCUCUUCUUCUCCUCCGUCGCCCUGUUUCUCUUCUUCUCCUCCGUCGCCCGAGCCUUUCUCUUUCUCUCCCCCAUCUCUUCUUCUCCGUCGUCGUCUACACGGAUUCUAUUCGUUUCCUCUUGCUGCAGCUCAUCAAAGGGCGUCCUCGAGCAGCUCCUCAGUAGGGCAUUUUCCAGCGGCUCCUGGGCGGUGGCUUGAUGGUGAUAGUCAAUCUCUCUCUCUCUCUCUCUGCUCGUUUUUUCUGCCCCCUCUCUCCCUCGACCAAUUUUCAGCACGCAUUUCCAGUGGCGGCAGAGGGGUUUUAUGGUGUUCUUCUUCUUCGUGAACCGACCCAGCAUCUCCUACAAGCAUUGCAUGUUCUCCCUCUUUUCCUUCCCUCUUUGGCGUCUUUUUUGUCCUCUGUGGUUCAAGGGUUUUCUUUGAAGAGGGACGCAGAUUUGUUUGAAAGGGGAUACCGAAUGAGGCAUGGUUGGAUAAAAAAAAAAAGUAUAAAACAUGUUUCUUUUGCUUUCAAGGAGGGUCAUGAGUUGGGUCAGCCUUUGGGGGUCUUAAAUAUAAGUCUGUCCUUUUGUUAUUGUGAUUCUAAAGGCUUAUUUUGCAUACGCCCUUUCCUGAUUGUGAUUCUGAAGGCUUAUUGUGCAUUACACGCAAUCAGCCUUUCAAAUUUCUGCAGGUUUACAAAGUAUUGCAGAAGGUUUACUGAAAGAACUGAGAAUCUGCUGCUCGUUUUCCUUUGGGAUUAUUUGCAACAAAUUUUUAAUUUUUACUGGUUCUUACAUAUCUGCGUCACAUGCCAAUACUUGGGCCAGAAUAUAACUGCUGCACUAAAGUGACAUCACAUCAUUCAGUUGUGAUAGGUUUAGUGUGUUCAUAACAUGGGAUCCUCUGUAUGGCUACUUCAACGAGGGUAAAGGAUACUGUGAAAGAAUACCUAGUGAUGAGAUUCAAGUGUCAAGAGCUAUAUUUUUGAGUUUGAACUUUGGAUCAGCUUAAUAUUCUAAUGAGCAGUAAGCGUAGAUGUUGGUAAUCUAGUCAGCAACCCCAAUAUCUCCACUUCAUACACAAGAAGGGUUCAUCAUGAAGAACAAUGGGUCCAAACACUUGAACCCACUGGCUGUUGUGCCAUAGAACAUGCUCACAGAUGUGUUCAUGGCCAAAGGCACCAUGUCAUCAGCCAGUUCUGCAAACAGUGAGCUGAAUCUCAGGAGGUAGCUCUUUCUGCAUGUGGUGCCCUCUGGGCACACCACCAAGUCCCCUUCCUUCAGCAGCCUGUUCAUGAUCUCUGCAUCUCUCUCUCUGUUUCUUGUUAGCCUCACUGUUUUGAUAGGGGAGAGGAUCUCAGAGGUUCUACUCACGCUGUAGGUCACUGGUGACAGUGGUUUUUGCAAGCUGAGGAUCAUAGGGUCCAGCAGAGUCGUGUGUGAGCAGACAUAGAGAACACCCUUCUAGGCGUUUCUGUCUACUCUGUCAAGCCCCUUGACUCUUAUCUGCACACCAUCCAUGGCUGCUAUUGCUCUAGCAAACUUCAUGGGGAGAGAGAUCCCGAUUACGAUUCUGAAGAUGGCUAGCGGGAAGGCAAAAGGAAUCCAUAGAAACAUAGUCACGGAGGCCAUUGGAGUAGGCAAAAAGGCCAGUCUGCCAUCGUGGAAGACCAGGGGCUUGGGAUACUUCUCUCUUGCCAUGAUUGAAGAAGGCAAGCCAUUCUUCUCAUCUUGCCUGUACACCACAUACGCUUCCUGUCAUCCAAAAAGGGAUUUGGUGAGAGAUGCAUGCCAAGAGGUCACUGUACAUUCGGAGCUAGGCUGCACGAUGAUGAAAUCAAAUUCCUAGCCACGUUUGUGAAGUUGCAGGAUGAACAAGGAUGGCCGAAGAUUGAAAUUUAUAAAGAUUGAUUUUUGUAGACGGGCAUUUCUGUAGAAAGGAGGGCUUCAAAUAUUGAAUAAUAUACUAUUUAUAAACUACUACCGGAAUCUUAAAUGCACCACUUUUGGUUCAACAUGGCGAACUGGUUUCAGCUUGCUUGUCUAUUUUCUUUAUUAACGAAAAAACAAGUUGUUUUGGGUCUUA